rnacentral:rRNA from 1 species
GACGAACGCUGGCGGCGUGCUUAACACAUGCAAGUCGAACGGAAAGGCCCUUCGGGGUACUCGAGUGGCGAACGGGUGAGUAACACGUGGGUGAUCUGCCCUGCACUUUGGGAUAAGCCUGGGAAACUGGGUCUAAUACCGAAUAGGACCGCGCGCUUCAUGGUGUGUGGUGGAAAGCUUUUGCGGUGUGGGAUGGGCCCGCGGCCUAUCAGCUUGUUGGUGGGGUAAUGGCCUACCAAGGCGACGACGGGUAGCCGGCCUGAGGGGGUGACCGGCCACACUGGGACUGAGAUACGGCCCAGACUCCUACGGGAGGCAGCAGUGGGGAAUAUUGCACAAUGGGCGCAAGCCUGAUGCAGCGACGCCGCGUGAGGGAUGACGGCCUUCGGGUUGUAAACCUCUUUCACCAGGGACGAAGCGCAAGUGACGGUACCUGGAGAAGAAGCACCGGCCAACUACGUG